AUGUUGCAAGUGGAAUGGUGGCGUGUACAAGCAGCUCUAGUCAUGAUUGUUGUGGGUGGAGAGGAAAUGGCUUUGGGUGGGGACUUGGGGACAACAAACUACUUGUUUGCUGGGAGUCCCGAUACAGCGGUUUUUCCUGAGGGCCAACACCAGUGGAAGUUGAGAUGGGGGUGGGGGGGGGGGCGACAAGCUGACAACCCUAGUGACACAUCUUGUCUCUGCUUUAUUAGGGAGGGGACAAGCGAAGAUAAGGUUUCGAGUGAGGUUUUUCUCCGUCUCAUAAAAGUUGUAGGUGAAGGGCGGGCAUAG
rnacentral:rRNA from 1 species